rnacentral:rRNA from 1 species
UUACGGGAGGCAGCAGUGGGGAAUCUUGCGCAAUGCGCGAAAGCGUGACGCAGCAACGCCGCGUGGGGGAAGAAGGCCUUCGGGUUGUAAACCCCUUUCAGUUGGGACGAAGCUUCGUCGGUGAAUAGCCGGCUGGAGUGACGGUACCUUCAGAAGAAGCCCCGGCUAACUACGUGCCAGCAGCCGCGGUAAUACGUAGGGGGCAAGCGUUGUCCGGAAUCAUUGGGCGUAAAGCGCGUGUAGGCGGUCCGGUAAGUCUGCUCUGAAAGCCCGGGGCUCAACCCCGGGAGGCGGGUGGAUACUGCCGGACUAGAGUCCGGAAGAGGCGAGUGGAAUUCCUGGUGUAGCGGUGAAAUGCGCAGAUAUCAGGAGGAACACCGAUGGCGAAGGCAGCUCGCUGGGACGGUACUGACGCUGAGACGCGAAAGCGUGGGGAGCGAACAGGAUUAGAUACCCCCGUAGUCCA